GGAGCAGCUUGUAAUGAAGUCACCCCCACAACCCUGUUACCUCACUCCUUUGGCUUCACAGUGACACCAAGUAUAACAACUGACCUGUCAUCAGCUGUUACGUCCUUUCAAGAUGAACAAACUGCAUAAUGACAAUUUAUGUUCACAGUGACAGCUACAGAUUUCUUCCCAAACCUAAAUAUUCCCAGACACCUUCUGAACAGGCCCUCAGAGAUUCUAGUAAACUGGGAGGUAUCUCAAGAAGGGCCGUGUUUUCAGUUUUCCUAUUCACCGAGCAAGUGAGAGGCAGCACAGCA
rnacentral:lncRNA from 1 species